AGAGUUUGAUCCUGGCUCAGGAUGAACGCUGGCGGCGUGCUUAACACAUGCAAGUCGAACGGACCCAUUCGAACGGAGAUUCGUCAAAGUUUGAUGAAGGUUAGUGGCGGACGGGUGAGUAACGCGUGGGUAACCUACCUUAUAGAGAGGGAUAACGAUUGGAAACGGUCGCUAAUACCUCAUAAGCCCACAGUACCGCAUGGUACAGGGGGAAAAGGAUUUAUCGCUAUAAGAUGGACCCGCGUUUGAUUAGCCAGUUGGCGGUGUAACGGACCACCAAAGCAACGAUCAAUAGCCGGACUGAGAGGUCGAACGGCCACAUUGGGACUGAGACACGGCCCAGACUCCUGCGGGAGGCAGCAGUGGGGGAUAUUGCGCAAUGGGGGGAACCCUGAUGCAGCAAUGCCGCGUGAAGGAUGACGGUUUUCGGAUUGUAAACUUCUGUUCCAGAUCAUGAAAAAAAUGACUAAUCUGGCAGCAAGCCACGCCUAACUACGUGCCAGCAGCCGCGGUAAUACGUAGGUGGCGAGCGUUAUCCGGAUUUACUGGGUGUAAAGGGUGCGUAGGCGGGAUAGCAAGUUGGAUGUGAAAUACCGAGGCUCAACUUCGGAGCUGCAUCCAAAACUGUUAUUCUUGAGUGGAGUAGAGGUAAGCGGAAUUCCGAGUGUAGCGGUGAAAUGCGUAGAUAUUCGGAGGAACACCGGUGGCGAAGGCGGCUUACUGGGCUCUAACUGACGCUGAGGCACGAAAGUAUGGGUAGCAAACAGGAUUAGAUACCCUGGUAGUCCAUACUGUAAACGAUGAUAGCUAGGUGUGGGGGGUCUGACCCCUUCCGUGCCGGAGUUAACGCAAUAAGCUAUCCACCUGGGGAGUACGGCCGCAAGGUUGAAACUCAAAGGAAUUGACGGGGACCCGCACAAGCAGUGGAUUAUGUGGUUUAAUUCGACGCAACGCGAAGAACCUUACCAGGUCUUGACAUCGAGUGACGAACUAAGAGAUUAGUUUUUCCUUCGGGACACAAAGACAGGUGGUGCAUGGUUGUCGUCAGCUCGUGUCGUGAGAUGUUGGCUUAAGUGCCGCAACGAGCGCAACCCUUGCCAUUAGUUGCUACGAAAGAGCACUCUAAUGGGACCGCCAUCGACAAGAUGGAGGAAGGUGGGGACGACGUCAAAUCAUCAUGCCCCUUAUGACCUGGGCUACACACGUAAUACAAUGGCCGUCAACAACGGGAAGCAAUAUCGCGAGAUGGAGCAAAUCCCCAAAAACGGUCUCAGUUCGGAUUGCAGGCUGCAACUCGCCUGCAUGAAGUUGGAAUUGCUAGUAAUCGUGGAUCAGCAUGCCGCGGUGAAUACGUUCCCGGGUCUUGCACUCACCGCCCGUCA
rnacentral:rRNA from 1 species